ensembl:ncRNA mir-11 mir-11 stem loop
GCACUUGUCAAGAACUUUCUCUGUGACCCGCGUGUACUUAAAAGCCGCAUCACAGUCUGAGUUCUUGCUGAGUGC